CCUACGGGUGGCAGCAGUGAGGAAUAUUGGUCAAUGGCCGAGAGGCUGAACCAGCCAAGUCGCGUGAGGGAUGACGGCCCUACGGGUUGUAAACCUCUUUUGUCGGGGAGCAAAGAGAGUCAUGUGUGGCUCAUUGUGAGUACCCGAAGAAAAAGCAUCGGCUAACUCCGUGCCAGCAGCCGCGGUAAUACGGAGGAUGCGAGCGUUAUCCGGAUUUAUUGGGUUUAAAGGGUGCGCAGGCGGAGGUGCAAGUCAGUGGUCAAAUUGCGGGGCGCAACCCCGUACUGCCGUUGAAACUGCAUGCCUUGAGUGCGCGAGAAGUAGGCGGAAUGCGUGGUGUAGCGGUGAAAGGCAUAGAUAUCACGCAGAACUCCGAUUGCGAAGGCAGCAUACCGGCGCGCAACUGACGCUGAUGCACGAAAGCGUGGGUAUCGAACAGGAUUAGAUACCCGUGUAGUC
rnacentral:rRNA from 1 species